AUGCUUGCUUCAGCAGUGCAUAUACUAAAAUUGGAACAACACAGAGAAGAUUAACAUAGCCCCUGUGCAAGGAUGACACACAAAUUGGUGAAGCAUUCCAUAUUUUU
rnacentral:snRNA from 1 species